rnacentral:rRNA from 1 species
GAUGAACGCUGGCGGCGUGCCUAAUACAUGCAAGUCGAGCGAACGGACGAGAAGCUUGCUUCUCUGAUGUUAGCGGCGGACGGGUGAGUAACACGUGGAUAACCUACCUAUAAGACUGGGAUAACUUCGGGAAACCGGAGCUAAUACCGGAUAAUAUUUUGAACCGCAUGGUUCAAAAGUGAAAGACGGUCUUACUGUCACUUAUAGAUGGAUCCGCGCUGCAUUAGCUAGUUGGUAAGGUAACGGCUUACCAAGGCAACGAUGCAUAGCCGACCUGAGAGGGUGAUCGGCCACACUGGAACUGAGACACGGUCCAGACUCCUACGGGAGGCAGCAGUAGGGAAUCUUCCGCAAUGGGCGAAAGCCUGACGGAGCAACGCCGCGUGAGUGAUGAAGGUCUUCGGAUCGUAAAACUCUGUUAUUAGAGAAGAACAUAUGUGUAAGUAACUGUGCACAUCUUGACGGUACCUAAUCAGAAAGCCACGGCUAACUACGUGCCAGCAGCCGCGGUAAUACGUAGGUGGCAAGCGUUAUCCGGAAUUAUUGGGCGUAAAGCGCGCGUAGGCGGUUUUUUAAGUCUGAUGUGAAAGCCCACGGCUCAACCGUGGAGGGUCAUUGGAAACUGGAAAACUUGAGUGCAGAAGAGGAAAGUGGAAUUCCAUGUGUAGCGGUGAAAUGCGCAGAGAUAUGGAGGAACACCAGUGGCGAAGGCGACUUUCUGGUCUGUAACUGACGCUGAUGUGCGAAAGCGUGGGGAUCAAACAGGAUUAGAUACCCUGGUAGUCCACGCCGUAAACGAUGAGUGCUAAGUGUUAGGGGGUUUCCGCCCCUUAGUGCUGCAGCUAACGCAUUAAGCACUCCGCCUGGGGAGUACGACCGUAAGGUUGAAACUCAAAGGAAUUGACGGGGACCCGCACAAGCGGUGGAGCAUGUGGUUUAAUUCGAAGCAACGCGAAGAACCUUACCAAAUCUUGACAUCCUUUGACAACUCUAGAGAUAGAGCCUUCCCCUUCGGGGGACAAAGUGACAGGUGGUGCAUGGUUGUCGUCAGCUCGUGUCGUGAGAUGUUGGGUUAAGUCCCGCAACGAGCGCAACCCUUAAGCUUAGUUGCCAUCAUUAAGUUGGGCACUCUAAGUUGACUGCCGGUGACAAACCGGAGGAAGGUGGGGAUGACGUCAAAUCAUCAUGCCCCUUAUGAUUUGGGCUACACACGUGCUACAAUGGACAAUACAAAGGGCAGCGAAACCGCGAGGUCAAGCAAAUCCCAUAAAGUUGUUCUCAGUUCGGAUUGUAGUCUGCAACUCGACUACAUGAAGCUGGAAUCGCUAGUAAUCGUAGAUCAGCAUGCUACGGUGAAUACGUUCCCGGGUCU